CAGUAGCCGCGGUAAUACGAAGGGGGCUAGCGUUGCUCGGAAUCACUGGGCGUAAUGGGUGCGUAGGCGGGUCUUUAAGUCAGGGGUGAAAUCCUGGAGCUCAACUCCAGAACUGCCUUUGAUACUGAAGAUCUUGAGUUCGGGAGAGGUUAGUGGAACUGCGAGUGUAGAGGUGAAAUUCGUAGAUAUUCGCAAGAACACCAGUGGCGAAGGCGGCUCACUGGCCCGAUACUGACGCUGAGGCACGAAAGCGUGGGGAGCAAACAGGAUUAGAUACCCCUGUAGUCCCUGUCUCUUAUAC
rnacentral:rRNA from 1 species